rnacentral:misc_RNA from 1 species
ACGCACCUCGUGCCGUGGUCGUCAAAGAACGGCCUCUGCUCGGUCUUGGGCGCGAGGGGCCCACGUUUGGGCCCCUCCGCCCGCAAUACAGUGGCUGACGUGCCGGGCGCCGUGAGCGUGAUGACAACCUCAAACGCGAAUGGCCGCGGCAACCGUCCCGCCCUCAAACCCCCUCAGAGGAAAUUCUCCG